AUUGAACGCUGGCGGCAGGCCUAACACAUGCAAGUCGAGCGGAUGAAGGGAGCUUGCUCCUGGAUUCAGCGGCGGACGGGUGAGUAAUGCCUAUGAAUCUGCCUGGUAGUGGGGGAUAACGUCCGGAAACGGGCGCUAAUACCGCAUACGUCUUGAGGGAGAAAGUGGGGGCUCUUCGGACCUCACUCUAUCAGAUGAUCCUAGGUCGGAUUAGCUAGUUGGUGGGGUAAAGGCCUACCAAGGCGACGAUCCGUAACUGGUCUGAGAGGAUGAUCAGUCACACUGGAACUGAGACACGGUCCAGACUCCUACGGGAGGCAGCAGUGGGGAAUAUUGGACAAUGGGCGAAAGCCUGAUCCAGCCAUGCCGCGUGUGUGAAGAAGGUCUUCGGAUUGUAAAGCACUUUAAGUUGGGAGGAAGGGCAGUAAGUUAAUACCUUGCUGUUUUGACGUUACCAACAGAAUAAGCACCGGCUAACUUCGUG
rnacentral:rRNA from 1 species